GGAAUUAAUAGAGGGUGGAAUCUGACAUUUCUAUGGUAACUGUUUGUUUCAUUGUGACAUCUCACAGAAAAGAUCCUCAGACCCCAAUGACCCUGGUCACCUCUCAGCAGCCAUCAAAAAGCCUGACACUCAUGAUCAAAUUGUGUCCUGCUCAAACACUGUGUUGAGGGCAAUACACAUGUGGAAGCCGAGCUAUUCUAUAUGCUUUAUCAGGUGACAAAAAUCAUCAAUAAAGGGGGCUGCAGACCAGAAAUAUUUGCUCCUUUACUGGGAGAGCAUUUAGGUAGGUUGCUGGGACCCAUGUCUCUUUACCUCCCUCAAACCACCAUUGCCUUGUGCAUAAGCAAGUAUCUUCUCUGACCCUCACUAGUCGGGAAAAGAGAUGCAAAGUUUCAGUGAAAGCCAGUAUAUUCCUACCUGACAACAUGUUAUUUUUUGACCUUGAGGGUCACCUUAUUGCAAGUAAUUCUGCCUUACCUUUAACAGGGGCCUGUUCAAUACAUGAAAAAUAAAGCAUUUCCGUAACUUC